rnacentral:tRNA from 1 species
UAAAAAUUAGUUAAUGUAUAAUGUGGGCUUGUCAAGCCUAAGUUACCUCAGAGGUAUUUUUAG